rnacentral:lncRNA from 1 species
UUGGACAUGCUCCCAUAUUAAAGUAGUUCCUGCCCCCUCCCCUAGCUCUUCCUUACUUUCUGGCAUUUACAAUAUGUUCUAGACUCAUCCUGUGUAUUUCCUGCCCUAGUCCUAGAUUCAACCAUUCUUCCAAAGAGCCCUUGUUCCUUUUAUUGGGAAAUUGUAUUAUAAAUCAUGAUCUGGUUUCUUGACAUUAGCCUGGGCAAUGGUUUUUUUUUUGGGUAUGACCCCAAAAACACAGGCAACGAAAGCAAAAAUAGACAAAUGAGAUUGCAUCAAACUAAAAAGCUCCUGCAUAGCAAAGGAAACUACCAACAUAGUAAAAAGACAACCUAAAGAAUGGUAGAAAAUAUUUGCAAGCCGUACAUCUGAUAAGGGGAUAAUAUCUAAAAUGUAUAAUGAACUUAAACAACACAGUCUCAAGAAAUCAAAUAGCCUGCUGAUAACAACACUGAGCUGCUCAGGUUUGAAUCCUGGCUCUGCCACUUUCUACCUGCGCAACCUGGAACAAACAACUUAAUCUCUCUCCGUACCUUGGUUUUCUCACCUGAAAAAUGGGAAUGAUUAUAAUAGUACUCGUAGAGUUGUUACAGAGAUUAAAUUAGAUAAUUCAGGACUGGGCACAGAAAAGGGG